rnacentral:rRNA from 1 species
AGCCCAGAGCCUGAAUCAGUGUGUGUGUUAGUGGAAGCGUCUGGAAAGGCGCGCGAUACAGGGUGACAGCCCCGUACACAAAAAUGCACAUGCUGUGAGCUCGAUGAGUAGGGCGGGACACGUGGUAUCCUGUCUGAAUAUGGGGGGACCAUCCUCCAAGGCUAAAUACUCCUGACUGACCGAUAGUGAACCAGUACCGUGAGGGAAAGGCGAAAAGAACCCCGGCGAGGGGAGUGAAAAAGAACCUGAAACCGUGUACGUACAAGCAGUGGGAGCCUCUUUAUGGGGUGACUGCGUACCUUUUGUAUAAUGGGUCAGCGACUUAUAUUCUGUAGCAAGGUUAACCGAAUAGGGGAGCCGAAGGGAAACCGAGUCUUAACUGGGCGUUAAGUUGCAGGGUAUAGACCCGAAACCCGGUGAUCUAGCCAUGGGCAGGUUGAAGGUUGGGUAACACUAACUGGAGGACCGAACCGACUAAUGUUGAAAAAUUAGCGGAUGACUUGUGGCUGGGGGUGAAAGGCCAAUCAAACCGGGAGAUAGCUGGUUCUCCCCGAAAGCUAUUUAGGUAGCGCCUCGUGAAUUCAUCUCCGGGGGUAGAGCACUGUUUCGGCAAGGGGGUCAUCCCGACUUACCAACCCGAUGCAAACUGCGAAUACCGGAGAAUGUUAUCACGGGAGACACACGGCGGGUGCUAACGUCCGUCGUGAAGAGGGAAACAACCCAGACCGCCAGCUAAGGUCCCAAAGUCAUGGUUAAGUGGGAAACGAUGUGGGAAGGCCCAGACAGCCAGGAUGUUGGCUUAGAAGCAGCCAUCAUUUAAAGAAAGCGUAAUAGCUCACUGGUCGAGUCGGCCUGCGCGGAAGAUGUAACGGGGCUAAACCAUGCACCGAAGCUGCGGCAGCGAC